rnacentral:lncRNA from 1 species
AGAUCUCAGUCUGCCAGAGGAGGUGAUAUUCGGUGAGAAUCUACAGUGCUUCAAAAGCCAUCUGCCUUUAUUUCAAGCCAUGCUUCAGAGGCUGAAGAUCAUGACGGUCUCGGAUCCUGUUCUCAAUUCAACAGUGAAGGAUUUAGAAAGGAUUGUUUUCGGACAAUGUGCUUCAUACGACACAGUUUUAGACCAGGUAAAGCAUGCCACGUUAGCAGAAGGAAGUGUUACAGAAGACUUUAAACAAGAGGCAGUGCUGAAUGAAGAGACACUGAUGUUGCCUGUUGAAGUUCAUAUGGAUUCCUCUCAAAGACAAGCUGCCAGUUAUUCCUUUGCUGAGAUUCAGGAUUCUCUAAAUGUCAGCCCGGAAUCAAUCGAAGAGCAUUUGCCCUUAAAAGAUCUUCUUAAAGAAGGUAAAACAUGAUCUUUUUUAUAUAUAUUUAGGAAUUAAUAUUUAGAAAUAU